AGCAUGUAUGCAUGGUUUUGUUCAACUAGUGGACAAAAACAUAGAAGAUGCUUGCAAGGGCCUAUCUUCUUUUAUAACCAGAGCUCAUAGUUUAGAAUGAGUUUUGAUACAUACAAGAAGGACUACA
rnacentral:snoRNA from 1 species